rnacentral:rRNA from 1 species
GACGAACGCUGGCGGCGUGCCUAAUACAUGCAAGUUGAGCGCUGAAGGUUGGUACUUGUACCAACUGGAUGAGCAGCGAACGGGUGAGUAACGCGUGGGGAAUCUGCCUUUGAGCGGGGGACAACAUUUGGAAACGAAUGCUAAUACCGCAUAAAAACUUUAAACACAAGUUUUAAGUUUGAAAGAUGCAAUUGCAUCACUCAAAGAUGAUCCCGCGUUGUAUUAGCUAGUUGGUGAGGUAAAGGCUCACCAAGGCGAUGAUACGUAGCCGACCUGAGAGGGUGAGCGGCCACAUUGGGACUGAGACACGGCCCAAACUCCUACGGGAGGCAGCAGUAGGGAAUCUUCGGCAAUGGACGAAAGUCUGACCGAGCAACGCCGCGUGAGUGAAGAAGGUUUUCGGAUCGUAAAACUCUGUUGGUAGAGAAGAACGUUGGUGAGAGUGGAAAGCUCAUCAAGUGACGGUAACUACCCAGAAAGGGACGGCUAACUACGUG